rnacentral:tRNA from 1 species
GAGGGUAUAGUUCAGUGGUAGAUCAUGUGCUUAGCAUGCAUGAUGCCCGGGGUCCAAUCCCCAGUACCUCCA